AAUUAUCUGACAAAAUUGAAUGGAUUUCACAAGUUUGUUCCACCACAAGUAUAAGCAUCAUAAAACAAGUGAAAUCUUUAUCAGGACUAACAAAAUUUAAGAAAUUAAUACAAAUCCACAGAGAUAUCAUUAAGCCCCUACAAGAAAAAUUCAAACACCGAAACUAAAAUACCAAAUCCCAAAGCCAAGCGUUUCGUGUAUCUCCCACAACUUCGGUGCUUCUAGUUGAAUUUAACCUUGAACAGAGGAUGUAUGAGUUCUGAGUAUAUUACCAAUACCGCUUACUCCUGUCCAAAUUCAAAUGAAAGAACCUCCUCAGAAACAUCCAACAACUCCUCUACUUCUAUUUCUUUGGCCUCAUACUCCUCUUCUUCAUCACUGGCCUCUCCGUCCCUUAACUUCUGCCUCUCCAAUUUUUCUUCCUCGUGCAACUGUUUCCAUUCAUUGACCCAUUUAUCCCAUUCAUCCUUCAACAUUCUCCUCUUCUCGCGGUCCUGCUCACUCAAUUGCAAUGAAACAUCUUGAUCCUCUGCCUCAUACUUCUUACUAUACUUCUUCAAAUUGUUUGCUAUUUCUUCCUCCUUUUCAGGACUCAAGAAGGAUGGUGGCCUUGGGCGCCACAAGAACUGUAAAAAAUGAUACAAAACUAAUAGUUAAGCAGUGGCGGUCACAACAUCAACGGUAAAUUGGUAAUAAGCCCACAAGAAGGAACAAAAAGGCAAGGAAAAUAAGAAAUGAGACAAUCAUCCACCGUGAUUCAAUAGAGUUUAUCCAUUUUAACCAAGGCCAUUAUCAGAUGCCUUUUCAUCAAAUGCCACUUUACUUCAAAAAUGAUGUAGUAAUGUUACCAAGAAACUUCAACAACUCAACUCAACAAUUGUGAUUGUUCAGUUAAAUGACCUUAUCCAAGAAUUCAGGAAUUUAACUCUACUCAUGCUGGAAAGGGUUACUCCUCAUCAUGUAAUCCAGCACAGAAUCAGUAAAUGCAUAAAAUACAUUAAUAUCUAAAAUGAUAGUGGCAUUAUAGAGUGAACGCAGUCAGCCAACUAAUUUGAAACAAUUAAACUGAGCUUUCAGUAGAAUAAUUAAUCUUACCUGGAAGAAAUGAUCCUAAAAUGAUAGUGGCAUUAUAGAGUGAACGCAGUCAGCCAACUAAUUUGAAACAAUUAAACUGAGCUUUCAGUAGAAUAAUUAAUCUUACCUGGAAGAAAUGAUCUUUAAGUAUCCGAUAAAGUAGCUUGCCAUUGAAAGACCAGAUAUUGAAUCCAUUUUCCAUUUCAUGAUGAACCGAAGUCACUGAAGUUGCAACAUACCUCCCAGUAGGAUCCCAUUCAAUAUCUGUUGCCAUAAAAUGCUCAGUUGUUGCCAUGGUCUCGAGCUCAUCAACAUUAUAGAAUUCCAACUGUCCGUUAAAACCCUUCAAUCCAGCAAGUAUUAUAUAGUGGCCAGUAGGUGACCAGAAAAGAGCAUUUGCUUGUUUGCCUUUGAGAGUAGUGAGCUUUGAAACCCGGCCAGUGUUAUGAGCAGUCCUCAUUGAGUAAAAACUUACAUCAGGCCUUGGGCUAUCCCCAUGAAUAACUGCAAACCUAUGACCCUUUGGCUCCCAAGCAAAGGCAAUGAUCUUAUCAUUCUUAUUGUCAAGUUCCAAUACCUCUAUGGGUAUGUCCCGCUCUUUUAUUCGGAAAAGUUCAAAGCCUGUGUAUGUGGUCCUCUUUGAUUUUGUAUAACGAUCAACCUUUACAGCAAGAUAGUCCCCAUUGCUUUGCCAGUACAUUUUGCAAUCACUAACACUGAAAAGAUUCUUCUGCCUUAAUUCCUCUUUACUAGGAAUUUGAACAAGAGAUACUCUGGCUGGUUGGUUACCACCAGCAAGUUCAGGAACAAAAAGCGCCAGAAUAGGAUCAGUUGGUGACCAACUGAAGUCCAUGACAUUUUCAACCUUAAGAGACUUCUUGUCAAUAAGACUAAAGGUCUCAGUUUCGUAGACAGAGAUCAUGUUUUUCCCAAUUUUCGCAAAGUACUUGUCAUCUUUUCCACCAACCCACCUGAAAAUGGGCCAAGAUACCCCUGCAACACCACCAGUUCCUCCAAUUGCAAAUUCAUCAGCACUCCCCCUGAAAUCCCUCAUCACUUUCCCAGUUCUGACAUCAAAAAUAUUUAUCACAAUCCUAUUUGCAUCACGAGGAUUGCUUGGUUCAUGGCUGCUAUAGGUAACCAAAUAUUUCUCACCAGGAGAAAAGUCAAUCAGUUUAACCUGGGGAUGAGCAUAACGCAUUAACCUAUUAAAGGUGCUUGCACCACCCCAGACAGCAGCACCCUGCCUAUGAACCGUUGCCAAGUAUGUCCCAAGAGGGGACCACUGAACAAAACUCUCAGUCCAAUAAGCUCGUUUGUAAACAGGAUCAGGUUUCAACUGUCUUGCAUCAUUCCAGAAAACCUCAGUAUCUGAGCCAGCACGAAUCACAAACUGGUCUCGAGCUUUUUCAUCAGUAAGCCAACGUUGAAGAUUUUCCUGUAAAGGAGAAGAGCAGCAGCACGGUAUGUAUGACACAAACACAUAUAUGCACAUUGAAAAAAACAAGCAGCUUAUAAACACAAAAAGAGUUAAGGAAAGAAGAAUCACAAAUGAAAUUUGAACUGCAAAAGCUCAUCAAUAACAUUGCAUUCUCAAGGUUUUACUUUUUUUUUUUUUCAAUCAGUGAGGACUUCCUUAGGAUGGCACUCAUGAAACAAGAACAUGGUCCUUUCCUUAAUUCACCAGUAUAAAAGGAAAAUGAACAGCAAAUUAGUAAUGACAUGAAAUAGAAGCAGAACUCCAUGGAGAAGAUUUAUGACCUCAAACAAGUCCCACAAGAACACAUGUCAAACAAAAUGCACAAGCACAGAAACUAAGUUGAUUGGAUGGCAAGUGGAUCAUUUGAUGGCACUCAGGACAAGCAAAUGAGAUAGAUAACAAAGCAGAACAGCAAAAGAAAUAUUUGAACUAAUUACCCCUGGAACAUAUGGCCUAAUUUCAGGAGGUGCCCACUCAUCUGGAACUCUCAUAAAUUUGGCAAAGUCAUCAAACAUGUUGACAGCAAAAAUAUGUGAUCUGUCCAACUUGUACCCAUUUGUUUUCUCCUUAGCUAGCUCAGCUUCCUGAGAAGUGUUAUACUCGAUGAAGCAGUAACCCAAGGUUUUCUGGGUUUCAGCAUCAACAGGCAUCCAAACGCCAUCAUCCUUAAUUACACCAAUCUGGCCAUAAAUUUUGCGAAUCACACCUUCAAGCUUCUCAAAUUUUUCUCGGGGAACAACUGGCAGAUUAUCAACAACAAUGAUGUUACCAAAGCCAGUCUCAAAAUCGAGCUGUUCUUCUUGGUAAACAUCUUCAUCAUCACUAAUGAUUCCAAAGUUUUCGCCAGGAGGAAGCUGAA
rnacentral:misc_RNA from 1 species